rnacentral:lncRNA from 1 species
ACAGGGCAAGCUGGCAGCUGUCUGACUGGACCUGAUGCCACUGGGCCUGGUAGGAAGACAGAAUAUCUGUUUUGGACCUUAACAGGACUUUGCGGAAUCAGAAAAGAACCUGCUGUUGUACCUGGAAAAACAAAAGGAAGCUCUUUAUGUACACACAUGAUAAGAACGCAGAGAAAUAUUAAUGAGUAAAAACUGACAGUGACAAAAAAAAUCUAACAUCACUUAUAAAAACUAACUUGAAAUAGAUCAUAGUCCUGGAUGUAAGAGCUAAAACGAUAAAACUUAUAAAAGAAAAUAGAGAAGAAAAUCUUGGUAGCCUUGAAAUUUCUUAGAUUCAACAGCAAAAGCAAGAUACACACUCACACACCAAAAGAAAACCUUAAUAAAUUGGUCUCCAUUGAAACUAAGAACUAGGCCAGGCAUGAUGGCUCAUGCCUGUAAUCUCAGCUCUUUGGGAGGCUGAGGUGGGAGGAGUUCACGGCCAGCCUGAGCAACACAGUCAGACUCUAUCUUUAAAAAAAGUUUAAAAAUAAAAAUAUAUGCCAGGCAUGGUGGCAUGGACCUCUCAUCCGAGUUACUCAGGAGGCUGAGGUGAGAGGAUCAUGUGAGCCCGGGAGUUCAAGGCUGCAGUGAGCUAUGAAUGUGCCACUGCACUCCAGCCUGGGUGACAGAGUGAGACCCUACCUCAAAAAAAAAAAAAAGAAAAGAAAAAGGCAACUAAGAUCUACUCCUCUUCAAAACACACUACUAAGAGAAUGAAAAGAUAAGCCACACAGUGGGUUAUCCUUCUGUGGGAGAAAAUAUUUGCAAAUCACAUAUCUGAUAAAGGGCUUGUAUCUAGAAUAUGAAAAGAAUUCUCAAAAUUAAAUAAUGAGAAAGCAAACAACCCAGGUGUAAAUAGACGAAAGAUUUGUGCACUUCACCAAAUAAGAUAUACAGAUGGCAAAUAAGCAAUCUGUUCAAAAGAUGUUCAAAAUCAUUAGUCAUUAGAGCAAUGCAAAUUAAAACUACAAUGAGAAGAUGGCUGACUAGACACAGGUAGUAUGUGCCUCCUUCAUGGAGAGGAACCAGAAGAGUAAGUAGAUAUAUUUUAAAGAGAUUGUCUAGUAGAGAAUGCUAGGACUCACCAGAGAAGUGAUGGGAAGCACCAGAAGUAAAUAAGGAGAGGGUUUGGGGACUGACUGAGAGCCCCAAGAGGCUCCUGGAUGCUGGGAAACAAUAAGAGAGAAAUCCCUAGGGCUCCACACUCCAAAAAGAGCUUUUAUGAUCUUGGCUGUGCAAGAAAACCCCAACUAGCUUAGGACCUCAGGCCUGAUAUAUGGAGCUGCCUAAAAUUGCACAGAUAUAUUGCUCCAGAAAAGAAAUCCACAUGGAAUCCUACAGGCAUCUGAGACUACAGCAGCCUCAGCCAGGCAUUAUUUUGAUAGUCUAGAUACCGGGGAUCUACAGACAUGGCUGCAGCUGUUGCCCUGCUCCAAAAAGGGAGAGGGGAGACCAAGUGCUCUCACACACCCCUGGGAGAGUCCCUACCACCCUUCUGUGGGCUGCCGUUGAGACUGAGACAUGAACCCAGCCAAGGAGGAUCAGGGAAACCAGGCUUUCCUAUACGUAUCUAAGACAAUACCACUGCCCUGCAGUGGGCUGCUGUGUGACUGAGAUGUGAGCGGAUUGCAUUUCCCCACAGCUUCUUGCUCACACUGCUUGCCUGGAACGUGCCCUACCCUCUCUGGUCCCAGGCCCAAGGCACCAUUUUGAGAGUUUAAUGUUGGGCUACAUCCUGCCCUUAGGCUGAGUUCAGACUGAUGCAGCUGCACCUGCUGCCCAUCCAAGAACAGACAGGGAAACCAGGCUCUCCUACACAUACAUAGAACAAUUGCCACUGCCCUGUGAGAGUUCAAAACCAGCCUGGACAACAUAGUAAGACCCAAUUUCUACAGAAAAUUUUUAAAAAUUUGCUGGGCAUCGUGAUGUGCACCUAUAGUCCCAGUUACCCAGGAGGCUGAAGCAGAAGGAUUGCUUGAGCCCAGGAGGUUGAGGCUGUGGUGAGCUGUGAUCGCACCACUGCACUCCAGCCUGGGUGACAGAAUGAAACCCUGUCUGAAAAAGAGAGAAAGAAAUUAAGAUGGAAAUUUUAAAAAAUUUUAAAAUGAAUGAAAAUGAAAGCACAACAUAUCAAAACCUGUGGGAUACAGCAAAAGCAAUCCUAAGAGGGAAGUUUAUAGCAUUAAAUAUAUAUAUCCAAAAAGUAGAAAGAUUACAAAAUAAUGACUUAAUGUCACAUCUCAAGGAACUAGAACAAGAACAAACCAAACCCAAAGUUAGCAGAAGAAAAGAUAUAAUGACGAUUAGAUCAUAACUAAAUGAAAUAGGGACCAAAAAAAAUCAAUGAAUGAAAAGUUGCUUCUUUGAAAAUGUAAGCAAAAUUGAUAAGCCACUAGCUAGAUCAAGAAAGAAGGGAUCCCAAUAAACAAGUGGAUAUGAAAAAUGAGACAUUAAAAUGAUACCACAGAAAUACAAAAGAUCAUCAGAGACUAUUAUGAACAACUGUAUGCCCAGAAACUAGAAUACCUAGAAGAAGUGGGUAAAUUUCUGGAAACAUACAAUCUUCUGAGAUCCAACUAGGAAGAAACAGAACUCCUGAACAGACAGAACAAUAAUGAGUAGCGAGAUUGAAUCAGUAAUAAAAAAUCUCUCAACAACAACAAAAAAAGCCCAGAACCAUAUGGAUUCACAGCCAAAUUCUACCAAAUAUACAAAGAAGAACUAUUGCUAAUUCUUCUGAAGCUAUUUCAGAAAAUAGAGGAAGAGGGAAGUCUCCUUAACUCAUUCUACAAGGCCAGUAUCAUCCUGAUACCAAAGCAAGACAAGGACAUGACAAAAAGUGAAAACUAUAGACCAGUAUCCCUGAUGAACAUUGAUGCAAAAAUCCUUAACAAAAUAUUAGCAAAUCAAAUUCAACAGCAUAUCAAAAAGAUAAUACACCAUGAUCAGGUAGGAUUUAUCCCAGGAAUGCAAGGAUGUUUCAAUGUAUGCAAAUCAAUAAAUGUGAUACAUCACAUAAACAGAAUUAAGGACAAAAACCUAUAUGAUCAUUUCAAUACAGACAAAGCAUUCAAUAAAAUUCAGCAUCCCUUCAUGAUAAAAAUCCUCAAUAAACUAGGCAUAGAAGAAACAUACCUUAACAUAAUAAGGUCAUAUAUGACAAACCCACAGCCAACAUCACACUUAGUGGAGAAAAAUUAAAAGCAUUUCCUCUAACUGGAACGAUACAAGGAUGCCCACUUUCAGUACUCUUAUUCAACUUAGUACUGGAAGUCUUCACCAGGCCAAUCAGACAAGAGAAAAAAAUAAAAGGCAUCCAAAUUGGAAAAGAGGAAGUCAAAUUAUUCCUGUUUGCUGAUGAUAUGAUCUUCUAUCUAGAAAACCCUUUGGGGUUUUUUGGCUCCUCCAAAAAAGCUUUUAGAUUUGAUAAAUGAAUGCAGUAGUUUCAGGAUACAAAAUUAAUGUACAGAAAUCAGUAGUGUUUCUAUACAACAAUAACAAUCUAGCUGAUGACCAAAUCAAAAAGGCAAUCCUAUUUACAAUAGCUACAAAAAAAAAAAAAAAAAACCUAGGAAUAUAUUUAACCAAGGAAGUGAAAGAUCUUUAUAAGGAGAACUACAAAACAUUGAUGAAAGAAAUAGUAGAUUAUGCAAAUGGAAAAACAUCCCAUGCUUAUGGAUUGGAAGAAUCAAUAUUGUUAAAAUGACCAUAGUCCCCAAAGUAAUCUACAGAUUCAAUGCAAUCCCUAUCGAAUUACCAAUGUCAUUUUUCCCAGAAUUAUAAAAAAAUCCUAAAAUUCAUAUGUAACCAAAAAAGGGCCUGAAUAGCCAGAGCAAUCCUAAGCAAAAAGAACAAAGCUCGAGGCAUCCAUUACUCACUUUGAAUUAUACUACAAGGCUAUAGUCACCAAAGUAGUGUAGUACUGGUAUAAGUAUAUACACAUACAUCAAUGGAAUAGGCUGGGCAUGGUGGUGCAUGCCUGUAAUUCCAGCACUUUGGAAGACAGAGGGUGGAUUACUUGAGGCCAGAAGUUGGAGACCAGCCUGGUCAACAUGGUGAAACCUCAUCUCUACUACAAAAAAAAAAAAUCAGCUGGGCAUGGUGGUGCACACCUGUAAUCCCAGCUAUUUGCAAGGCUGAGGCAUGAGAAUUGCUUGAGGCUGGGAGGCUGGGGCUACAGUGAGCCGAUGUCACUCCACUGCACUCCAGCCUGGUGACAAAGUGAGACUUUCUGAAAAAAAAAAAAUCAAUGGAAUAGAAUAAAGAACCCAGAAAUAAAGCCACAUACCUAUAACAAACUGACCUUUGACAAGCUCAACAAAAAUAAACACUGGGGAAAGGACACCCUAUUCAACAAAUGGUGCUAGGAAAAUUGGAUGGCCAUAUGCAAAAGAAUGAAACUAGACCCAUACCUCUCGCCAUAAACAAAAAUUAAAUCAAGAUGGAUUAAAGACCUAAAUGUAAUGCCUGAACUAUAAACAUCUUCAAAGAAAAUCUGGGAAAAACUCUUCUGGACAUUGACCUAGGCAAAGAAUUUAUGACCAAGUCCUCAAAAGCAAACAUAGCAAGAACAAAAAUAGACAAAUGGGACUUGAUUAAACAAAAAACCUUCUGCAAAGCAAAAGAACAGAGUAAACAGACAAUUUACAGAAUGGGAGAAAAUAUUUGCAAAUUAUGCAUACAACAGAGGACUAAUAUCCAGAAUCUGCAAGGAACUCAAAGAACUCAACAAGAAAAAAGCAAAUAAUCCCAUUAAAAAUUGGGCAAAGGACAUGAACAGACAUUUUUCAAAAGAAAACAUACAAGUGGCCAAAGAAUAUAAGAAAAAGUGUUCAACAUCACUAAUCAUCAGAGAAAUGCAACUGAAAACCACAAUGAGAUACCAUCUUACACCAGUCAGAAUGGCUAUUACUAAAAAGUCAAAACAACAAAUGUUGGCAAGGAUGUGGAAAAAGGGGAACAAUUAUACUUUGUUGGUAGGCAUGUAAAUUAGUACAACCUUUAUGGAAAACAGUAUGGAGAUUUCUUAAAGAACUAAAGAUAGAAGUACCAUUCGAUCCAACAAUCCCACCAAUGCGUAUAUAUCCAAAUGGAAAAAAAUGAUUAUAUCAAAAAGAUAUCUGCAUUAAUGUCUUUAUUGCAGACUAUUCACAAUAACAAAGAUGAAAUCAAACUGUGUCCAUCAGCAGAAGGUUGGAUUAAGAAAAUGUAUUUUAUAUAUAGCAUGGAAUACUACUCAGCCAUAAGAAAGAAUAAAAUCAUAUCUUUCCCAGCAACACUGGUGGAACUUGAAGCCACUAUCCUAAGUGAAAUAACUCAGAAAGUCAAAUACAGCAUGUUCUCACUUAUAAGUGGGAGCUAAACAAAGGGUACCUAUGGAUAUACAGUGUGGACUAUUAGACACUGGAGACUACAGAAGGUGGGAGGGUAGGAGGAGGGUUAGGGUUAGAAAAUUACCUGUUGGGUACAAUAUUCACUAUUUGGGUGAUGGGUACACUAAAAGUGCAGACUUUACCACUAUGCAAUAUAUGCAUGUAAGAAAUCUGCACUUGUCUCUUCUGGGGAGGUUCCAAGAUGGUCGAAUAGGAACAGCUCUAGUCUACAGCUCCCAGCGUGAGUGACGCAGAAGACUGGUGAUUUCUGCAUUUCCAACUGAGGUACUGGGUUCAUCUCACUGGAGCCUGUCAGACAGUGGGUGCAGCCCAUGGAGCGUGAGCCAAAGAAGGGUGGAGCAUCACCUCACCUGGGAAGCACAAGGGGUUGGGGAAUUCCCUUUCCUAGCCAAGGGAAGCCGUGACAGAUGGUACCUGGAAAAUUGGGACACUCCCACCCUAAUACUGCGCUUUUCCAAUGGUCUUAGCAAAGGGCACACCAGGAGAUUAUAUCCCACACAUGGCUUAGAGGGUCCCACGCCCACAGAGCCUUGCUCACUGCUAGCACAGCAGUCUGAGAUCGAACUGCAAGGUGGCAGUGAGGCUGGGGGAGGGGCGUCCGCCAUUGCUGAGGCUUGAGUAGGUAAACAAAGUGGCUGGGAAGCUCGAAUGGGCUGGAGCCAACCACAUCUCAAGGAGGCCUUCCUGCCUCUGUAGACUCCACCUCUGGGGGCAGGCCAUAGCUGAACAUAGCUGCAGAAACUUCUACAGACUUAAACGUCCCUGUCUGACAGAUUUGAAGAGAGUAGUGGUUCUCCCAGCAUGGAGUUUGAGAUCUGAGAAUGGACAGACUGCCUCCUCAAGUGGGUCCCUGACCUCCAAGUAGCCUAACUGGGAGGCACCUCCCAGUAGGGGCCGACUGACACCUCAUAUGGCUGGGUGCCCCUCUGAGAUGAAGCUUCCAGAGGAAGGAUCAGGCAGCAACAUUUGCCAUUCUGCAAUAUUUGCUGUUCUGCAGCCUCUGCUGGUGAUACCCAGGCAAACAGAGUCUGGAGUGGACCUCCAGCAAACUUUUAACAAACCCACAGCUGAAGGUCCUGACUGUUAGAAGGAAAACUAACAAACAGAAAGGACAUCCACACCAAAACCCCAUCUGUACGUCACCAUCAUCAAAAACCAAAGGUCGAUAAAACCACAAAGAUGGAGAGAAACCAGAGCAGAAAAGCUGAAAACUCUAAAAAUCAGAGCACCUCUUCUCCUCCAAAGGAAAGCAGCUCCUCGCCAGCAAUGGAACAAAGCUGGACGGAGAAUGACUUUGACGAGUUGAGAGAAGAAGGCUUUGGACGAUCGGUAAUAACAAACUUCUCUAAGCUAAAGGAGAAUGUUCGAACCCACCGCAAAGUAGCCAAAAACCUUGAAAAAAGAUUAGAUGAAUGGCUAACUAGAAUAAACAGCAUAGAGAAGACCUUAAAUGACCUGAUGGAGCUGAAAACCACGGCAUGAAAACUGUGACAAAUGCACAAUCUUCAGUAGCUGAUUCGAUCAAGUGGAAGAAAGGGUAUCAGUGAUUGAAGAUCCAAUGAAUGAAAUGAAGCAAGAAGAUAAGUUUAGAGAAAAAAGAGUAAAAAGCCACUAACAAAGCCUCCAAGAAAUAUGGGACUAUGUGAAAAGACCAAAUCUACAUCUGAUUGGUGUACCUGAAAGUGAUGGGGAGAAUGGAACCAAGUUGGAAAACACUCUUCAGGAUAUUAUCCAGGAGAACUUCCCCAACCUAGCAAGGCAGGCCAACAUUCAAAUUCAGGAAAUACAGAGAACACCGCAAAGAUACUCCUCAAGAAGAGCAACUCCAAGACACAUAAUUGUCAGAUUCACCAAAGUAGAAAUGAAGGAAAAAAUGUUAAGGGCAGCCAGAGAGAAAGGUCGGGUUACCCACAAAGGCAAGCCCAUCAAACUAACAGCGGAUCUCUCACAGAAACUCUACAAGCCAGAAGAGAGUGGGGGCCAAUAUUCAACAUUCUUAAAGAAAAGAAUUUUCAACCCAGAAUUUCAUAUCCAGCCAAACUAAGCUACAUACAUGAAGGAGAAAUAAAAUCCUUUACAGACAAGGAAAUGCUGAGAGAUUUUGUCACCACCAGGCCUGCCUUACAAGAGCUCCUGAAGGCAGCACUAAACAUGGAAAGGAACAACUGGUACCAGCCACUGCAAAAACAUGCCAAAUUGUAAAGACCAUUGAUGCUAGGAAGAAACUGCAUCAACUAACGAGCAAAAUAACCAGCUAACAUCAUAAUGACAGGAUCAAAUUCACACAUAACAAUAUUAACCUUAAAUGUAAAUGGGCUAAACGCUCCAAUUAAAAGACACAGGCUGGC